rnacentral:rRNA from 1 species
GACGAACGCUGGCGGCGUGCUUAACACAUGCAAGUCGAACGGAAAGGCCCUGCUUUUGUGGGGUGCUCGAGUGGCGAACGGGUGAGUAACACGUGAGUAACCUGCCCUUGACUUUGGGAUAACUUCAGGAAACUGGGGCUAAUACCGGAUAGGAGCUCCUGCGGCAUGGUGGGGGUUGGAAAGUUUCGGCGGUUGGGGAUGGACUCGCGGCUUAUCAGCUUGUUGGUGGGGUAGUGGCUUACCAAGGCUUUGACGGGUAGCCGGCCUGAGAGGGUGACCGGCCACAUUGGGACUGAGAUACGGCCCAGACUCCUACGGGAGGCAGCAGUGGGGAAUAUUGCACAAUGGGCGGAAGCCUGAUGCAGCAACGCCGCGUGCGGGAUGACGGCCUUCGGGUUGUAAACCGCUUUCGCCUGUGGCGAAGCGUGAGUGACGGUAAUGGGUAAAGAAGCACCGGCUAACUACGUG